AACGAACGCUGGCGGCAUGCCUAACACAUGCAAGUCGAACGAGACCUUCGGGUCUAGUGGCGCACGGGUGCGUAACGCGUGGGAACCUGCCCUUAGGUUCGGAAUAACUCCCCGAAAGGGGUGCUAAUACCGGAUAAUGUCUUCGGACCAAAGAUUUAUCGCCUUUGGAUGGGCCCGCGUUGGAUUAGCUAGUUGGUAGGGUAAAAGCCUACCAAGGCGACGAUCCAUAGCUGGUCUGAGAGGAUGAUCAGCCACACUGGGACUGAGACACGGCCCAGACUCCUACGGGAGGCAGCAGUGGGGAAUAUUGAACAAUGGGCGAAGGCCUAAUCCAGCAAUGCCGCGUGAGUGAUGAAGGCCUUAGGGUUGUAAAGCUCUUUUACCCGGGAUGAUAAUGACAGUACCGGGAGAAUAGGCUCCGGCUAACUCCGU
rnacentral:rRNA from 1 species